rnacentral:rRNA from 1 species
AUUGAACGCUGGCGGCAGGCCUAACACAUGCAAGUCGAACGGAAAAAGGGAUCUUGCUGCUGCUUUCCGGACGAGAGGGGGAAGUGAGGGCAAUGUCUGUGACACUGCGUGAUGGAGGAGGUUCGCAACUGGGAGCGAAAACUGCUACCGCAUAACGGCGCAAGACCGGAGAGGGGGACCUUCCGGCCUCUUGGCCUAGCCUAGGUCGGAUUAGCUAGUUGGUGGGGUAAGGGUAUACCCAGGCGACGAUCCGUAGCUGGUCUGAGAGGAUGACCAGCCACACUGGAACUGAGACACGGUCCAGACUCCUACGGGAGGCAGCAGUGGGGAAUAUUGGACAAUGGGCGCAAGCCUGAUGCAGCCAUGCCGCGUGUAUGAAGAAGGUCUUCGGGUUGUAAAGUACUUUAAGCGGGGAGGAAGGGAAGAAAGUUAAUACCUUGCCUCAUUGACGUUACCCGCAGAAGAAGCACCGGCUAACUCCGUG